rnacentral:rRNA from 1 species
CCUACGGGAGGCAGCAGUGGGGAAUAUGGGACAAUGGGCGAAAGCCUGAUCCAGCCAUGCCGCGUGAGUGAUGAAGGCCCUAGGGUUGUAAAGCUCUUUCACCGGUGAAGAUAAUGACGGUAACCGGAGAAGAAGCCCCGGCUAACUUCGUGCCAGCAGCCGCGGUAAU